rnacentral:rRNA from 1 species
UACCAGCACCCCGAGUGGUCGGGACGAUUAUUGGGCCUAAAGCAUCCGUAGCCGGUUUUACAAGUCCUCCGUUAAAUCCAACUGCUUAACAGAUGGGCUGCGGAGGAUACUAUAAGACUAGGAGGCAGGAGAGGCAAGCGGUACUCAGUGGGUAGGGGUAAAAUCCGUAGAGAUGUGAAGGAACACCGGAGGCGAAGGCGCCUGCCUGGACGACUAUUGACGCUGAGGCGCGAAAGCGUGGGGAGCAAACAGG